AUUGAACGCUGGCGGCAGGCCUAACACAUGCAAGUCGAGCGGAUGAAGGGAGCUUGCUCCUGGAUUCAGCGGCGGACGGGUGAGUAAUGCCUAGGAAUCUGCCUGGUAGUGGGGGAUAACGUCCGAAAACGGGCGCUAAUACCGCAUACGUCCUGAGGGAGAAAGUGGGGGAUCUUCGGACCUCACGCUAUCAGAUGAGCCUAGGUCGGAUUAGCUAGUUGGUGGGGUAAAGGCCUACCAAGGCGACGAUCCGUAACUGGUCUGAGAGGAUGAUCAGUCACACUGGAACUGAGACACGGUCCAGACUCCUACGGGAGGCAGCAGUGGGGAAUAUUGGACAAUGGGCGAAAGCCUGAUCCUGCCAUGCCGCGUGUGUGAAGAAGGUCUUCGGAUUGUAAAGCACUUUAAGUUGGGAGGAAGGGCAGUAAGUUAAUACCUUGCUGUUUUGACGUUACCAACAGAAUAAGCACCGGCUAACUUCGUG
rnacentral:rRNA from 1 species